GGCGCCCGCUCUUGAACUGGGGCGGUUAGGUUAGGUUAAGUUAGGAUAGGCUAGGUGUAGGUGGUGGCAGGUUAGGUUAAGUUAGGAUAGGAUAGGUGUAGGUGGUGGCAGGUUAGGUUAAGUUAGGAUAGGCUAGGUGUAGGUGGUGGC